rfam:Myotis davidii contig215668, whole genome shotgun sequence.
GGUGGUUCUCAGUGACACAGCCCGGAAUCGGGCCCCCUCCUGUCUGGUUCUUGGUGUGUGACCUAAGAACUGCA